rnacentral:rRNA from 1 species
GACGAACGCUGGCGGCGUGCUUAACACAUGCAAGUCGAACGGAAAGGCCCUGCUUUUGUGGGGUGCUCGAGUGGCGAACGGGUGAGUAACACGUGAGUAACCUGCCCUUGACUUUGGGAUAACUUCAGGAAACUGGGGCUAAUACCGGAUAGGAGCUCCUGCUGCAUGGUGGGGGUUGGAAAGUUUCGGCGGUUGGGGAUGGACUCGCGGCUUAUCAGCUUGUUGGUGGGGUAGUGGCUUACCAAGGCUUUGACGGGUAGCCGGCCUGAGAGGGUGACCGGCCACAUUGGGACUGAGAUACGGCCCAGACUCCUACGGGAGGCAGCAGUGGGGAAUAUUGCACAAUGGGCGGAAGCCUGAUGCAGCAACGCCGCGUGCGGGAUGAAGGCCUUCGGGUUGUAAACCGCUUUCGCCUGUGACGAAGCGUGAGUGACGGUAAUUGGUAAAGAAGCACCGGCUAACUACGUG